AGUGAACGCUGGCGGUAGGCCUAACACAUGCAAGUCGAACGGCAGCACAGUAAGAGCUUGCUCUUACGGGUGGCGAGUGGCGGACGGGUGAGGAAUACAUCGGAAUCUACUUUUUCGUGGGGGGUAACGUAGGGAAACUUACGCUAAUACCGCAUACGACCUACGGGUGAAAGCAGGGGAUCUUCGGACCUUGCGCGAUUGAAUGAGCCGAUGUCGGCUUAGCUAGUUGGCGGGGUAAAGGCCCACCAAGGCGACGAUCCGUAGCUGGUCUGAGAGGAUGAUCAGCCACACUGGAACUGAGACACGGUCCAGACUCCGACGGGAGGCAGCAGUGGGGAAUAUUGGACAAUGGGCGCAAGCCUGAUCCAGCCAUACCGCGUGGGUGAAGAAGGCCUUCGGGUUGUAAAGCCCUUUUGUUGGGAAAGAAAAGCAGCAGGUUAAUACCCCGCUGUUCUGACGGUACCCAAAGAAUAAGCACCGGCUAACUUCGUG
rnacentral:rRNA from 1 species